rnacentral:rRNA from 1 species
AACGAACGCUGGCGGCAGGCCUAACACAUGCAAGUCGAACGCCCUAGCAAUAGGGAGUGGCAGACGGGUGAGUAACGCGUGGGAACGUGCCCUUCGGUUCGGAAUAACUCAGGGAAACUUGAGCUAAUACCGGAUACGUGCGUGAGCAGAAAGAUUUAUCGCCGAAGGAUCGGCCCGCGUUGGAUUAGCUAGUUGGUGAGGUAAUGGCUCUCCAAGGCGACGAUCGAUAGCUGGUCUGAGAGGAUGAUCAGCCACACUGGGACUGAGACACGGCCCAGACUCCUACGGGAGGCAGCAGUGGGGAAUAUUGGACAAUGGGCGCAAGCCUGAUCCAGCCAUGCCGCGUGAGUGAUGAAGGCCCUAGGGUUGUAAAGCUCUUUCGCCAGGGACGAUAAUGACGGUACCUGGAUAAGAAGCCCCGGCUAACUUCGUGCCAGCCGCCGCCGUAA